rnacentral:lncRNA from 1 species
AACCCCGCUCAUCUGAUCGCUGAGUCUUCUCAACAGAACAAUCGCCGAAAAAAUUGCCUCGGUGUGGUCCGCCUCGCUACUGGUGAGUUACUGAAUGUCUGCCCUCACGGUACCAAAUUGAUCAAUGGUCAAUGGAUCAAUCGCUGCCUAGGACAAAGGGAGCCCUCGAUCGACGGUGAGUUGAGUGCAGCUCAAGAGGCAUAUUUAGCGCCCGGUGUACCUCGCAAGACGCCUGAUGAGCAGCACGCUUCUCGCUCCACAGACUUUCCACGAGCGGCCCCUCCGUCCGCGCAGCCGAGCACACAGUUCGAAUCAAACUUGUUCAAGUCUGCUGAAGAUGAGCAGAGGAAAUAGAGUUUUAAUACAAUGUAACUCUUACCUUCGAAGGUAUUCCGUAAUAAGAGGUAGGAGUUCGCGCAAUUCGUCCUCGACCAACGUCGGCGUUCUGGCCAACGCCGCAGGCCCAGCGGGUCCACGACGACCUCAUGGCCGUGGGAGUCGUGCAACGCGCCCGAUGGCUCCGCGAGUGGGUCGUUACCGCCCCCGAACCCGCCCUCGGGCCACCACGCGGGGCGCUCCGCCAUGGCCUCCCCCGCCCUUCGCUGUGACCCGGCUAUCGGUGCUGACCAACAUUUUUAGGCUGAAAAUCACAAUCAGAGAUCAGAG